GAUGAACGCUGGCGGCGUGCCUAAUACAUGCAAGUCGAGCGAACAGACGAGGAGCUUGCUCCUCUGACGUUAGCGGCGGACGGGUGAGUAACACGUGUAUAACCUACCUAUAAGACUGGGAUAACUUCGGGAAACCGGAGCUAAUACCGGAUAAUAUAUUGAACCGCAUGGUUCAAUAGUGAAAGACGGUUUUGCUGUCACUUAUAGAUGGAUCCGCGCCGCAUUAGCUAGUUGUUAAGGUAACGGCCUACCAAGGGGACGAUGCGUAGCCGACGUGAGAGGGUGAUAGGCCACACUGGAACUGAGACACGGUCCAGACUCCUACGGGAGGCAGCAGUAGGGAAUCUUCCGCAAUGGGCGAAAGCCUGACGGAGCAACGCCGCGUGAGUGAUGAAGGUCUUCGGAUCGUAAAACUCUGUUAUUAGGGAAGAACAAAUGUGUAAGUAACUAUGCACGUCUUGACGGUACCUAAUCAGAAAGCCACGGCUAACUACGUG
rnacentral:rRNA from 1 species